AACGAACGUUAGCGGCGCGCUUAACACAUGCAAGUCGAACGAGAAAGUCCCUUCGGGGGCGAGUACAGUGGCGCACGGGUGAGUAACACGUGGGUAUCUACCUUCUGGCGGGGGACAACAUCCCGAAAGGGUUGCUAAUACCGCAUAAGUCGGCUUCGGCCGGGAAAGGCGGCUUCGGCUGUCACCAGAAGAUGAGCCUGCGGCCCAUCAGCUUGUUGGUAGGGUAAUGGCCUACCAAGGCAUCGACGGGUAGCUGGUCUGAGAGGAUGAUCAGUCACACUGGAACUGAGACACGGUCCAGACUCCUACGGGAGGCAGCAGUGGGGAAUAUUGCGCAAUGGGCGAAAGCCUGACGCAGCGACGCCGCGUGGGUGAUGAAGGUUUUCGGAUCGUAAAGCCCUGUCGGAGAGGGAAGAACAACCCAU
rnacentral:rRNA from 1 species